CCUAGGUCCCCAGAGCUUGGGGGGAGGAGACGCUGGGAGGAGACCCUGGGACUCAGAGCUAAGAACCCAGGCGGCAGAGAGGCACGGGAACUGGGCGUUCAGAGUUUGUAGACACGCGAAGUAGGGAGUCGGGAGGCUGGGCUGAGGGCGGGGAGGGAGGGGACAGGCCGGUCCCUGCCUCAGCCGAGGGCCCUGCAGUUGGUGCGGUCUCUGGGGUCCCGGCUGGCCGGCCCGCAGUGGCUGCUCCUUGCUGUCUGGCCCACCGCUAACUUCUCCCAGCGGACCCAUGGAACUCGUCACGUUGGUGAGGCGCUGCGCUGGGGCCCUGGGGGCCUGACCCUGCUCCAGCCGCCCUGCCGCAGGGCCCCCACUGCCCGGGGCUUGGAGUGGAGACAGAUCCGAGAACACCGCUGCUCACCCGGGGCGCCACAGGGGCAGUGCUGGUGCAGUGGACUACUAUGUACUAAUCUACAGCCUAAAAUCCUUCCAUGGCUCCUUCUGGCCUUCAGAGUAGAGUCCAAGCUCCUCACCAUGGCACAGAAAGUCCUGAGCGACCUGGCUACUGCCCGUGUCUACAGCCUUUCACCCUCUGCCUGAAACGCCGACACAAAAUUUACACAAAGGGAGUAUGUAAGAGACCACAGAUACAAGGAAAGAGAAGCCAGGAGACAGGUAAAAGCUGUGCCAGUGGUUCAGAAUGGGUGCUGGCAGGGGACAAGAAAAGCAAGAAGAUACAUGAAGAGAGACAGAUGGAAAGACCUACAGGCUCCUGACAAUCAGGAGGCAGGCUUGGAGCCAGUCACUGCUGAAGGUGAUGGGGUCAGACAGACAGUUCUGGAGCUGUGCUGGACCUGAAAGGGGCCCCCUGUUCCUGAAUCCCAUUCCAGGCAACAGGAGGCCCAGCCGUAAGGCAGUUUCUGGUUUCCCAAGUCUCUCUUACAUUCUUGCAAUAACUUCCCAUGACUUGAGGUGGCCCGAGUGAACCCCAAGCAUGAAACAAUACAGAUGGCAACUGAAGCCACGGAUGGGGGUGUCAAUCUCCCACAGAACGUGUACGGAAAGAGAAGACUGUCCAGGAUGGAGCCCUAGCGAAUGCUGACUCUGAAAUCAAGGACGCUGAGAAAGAGAAUGAGAGAGACUGGCGAGCGAAAUCAGAAGAACGCCAGAAAUUACUGACUCCGAAGCCCGAGCAGGAAAAGCUUCAAAGAGGAAGGAGUAGUCAACAGAAAGCAUGUUUCUGAGAGGUCAGGAAACAUGUGUCCACUGGAUUUGGCAGCCUUGAGUCCACAGGAUGAAGUCCAAGCUCCUUGACGUGACCUUUAUACCAAAGACCUGUCACAAGACCCUUCACCGUCUGUCCUCUGCCUACUCAGCCUCGUCUGCAGCCCUUGCCCCCCACAUACAUGCAGGCCAGCCCCAUCGCUUGUGGGGCCAGGGACAAAAUUUCAAAUGGAAGUCCAGAUACCACAUGUCUGAAUCUUGGAUUCUAAAUAUUUGAGAAUUAUAAAUCAAGGUACCAAGCUGUCAAAUAAAAAUAUAUUCUCUUCUCCCUUGAAAAACCACCUGGGGACCCAGGUUUGAAUUUAGAAUCCGGCCUCCUGCAGAUCUGUGCCGAGCCGUGGUGCUGUGAGGAGAGACAGCCCCAGCCCGGCUCCUUUCUCUCUCCACUCCCGUCCCCAACCCACGCCACGAGAAGCCUUGUGCACACGUGAGCAGACUCCCCAGCCCGCACCUCCACCUCCCUGCAAACAGCCCUCCUUGAGCUUAGGGGUCUGCACAGGGAGGUGGAUUCUGUCUUUAGGAGGAAGGAAGUGGCCUGACCACUGCUAGUGCAAGAAAUUCUGAGGUCUCUAGCAGCUGGUAAUGGUCUAGCGCCUGGGGAUGGGCCUGCGGGGGGCAGCUCCCUCUUGGCCUGCUUACUCCUCUUCACUCCAUGGUAGGGCUGUGGCAGGAGGAGAACCAGGUGCCCUCCCGCCCCGGUACAGGGGCACUGCACUCAUGUCACACACCAGUUAUACUGAAUUAUUUUUAAUUCACCAACUGUACCACACUCACUACCAGUGCUCUUCUCUGUGCCCCAAACUUCAUCUACGAUCUCCAAGAGGCUGAGACGGGCAGCUGGUUAGGGUCCAAGGCAAAUUAAGUGUCCUGGAGGCUGAGAAAUGGGGUGGCUGGACCUUCCCACCCAAGUGGCACUUGCCCUGUGCCCAGGCCCCGUGCUCUCCCUGACGCACUCACUCCUGGGCCCUUGCCUGGCUGAAUCUCGCUUCUCAGAAGGGGACCGUCACCUGCAGGGGGAGCACACUGUGUCCAGCGUCGCCACGUGUACUGUCUUGCUCGCUCCUGAGGGCAGUCUGACAGGGAGCCACACGGGGAAGCUUUUCCUGUCCCCACUGUACAGAAGAGGAAAAACGAACCCCGAAGAUAUGGGCUGAGGCAGAGGAAUCAUCGUUCCCAACACCGUACCCAGCACUGCUUUGCCAACCUUGCCCGCACCAAAGGAGUUUGGGGGGGGGGGGUGAGGACGGCUGUGAGGACAGCCAUGAGGACAGCACUCCUUCACGUCACCGAACUAUCAUUUACAUAAUAGACCCCUCAGGUUAUAUUUGGGUUUGGCCUUAUUAAAUAACAGUCUAAUAACAAUCUUUGUGUGCCGAUCUGUCCUUCCUUUGGGUAAUGGCUAUUGGUGCCAAAUGUCAUUUCCUUUCCAAAAAUCUUGUCCCCGUUUAUACUCCGACCAGUAGCCUCUGAGAGCACCUGUCACUGAACGCUUGCCAGAAUCACGUAUGCUCAUUUAAACAUGUUCUUUAAAGAUGUGGUGGGUGAUAAUGGCAUCCUGUUGUCUUCACAUGAAUUUCUCUGACUGCCGGAAGGUUAAACAUAUUUUUGUUACUAGUUAUAUUUCCUUCUGUGUGAUCUGCUCAGUCUCCUGCCCUUUAUCUGCUGGGGUCCUAAUGGUUUUCUGGUCAACUUUCAUAACAAUAACCAUUUGUCUGUCAUAUUUCCCAAACACACUUUCCAAGGCUCUGUGGCAUCCAGUCUCUUCAUUGUUGUGAAUUCAGUUUGAAUUUUCAUAUAUUAUUAAGUCUCAUUUCUCCUAGCGCGUCCACCCCUUGAAAGUUCUUUUCCCUCCGGGGAUGUGAUUUCUAUUCUACUUACUUCAAAGUUCCCUUUGGUUGUAUUUUUAUAUUUUACUUUUUAGUCCAUUUGGAAUUUAUCUUGAUGUGUGCUUUGAGGAGAGGGUCAAAAAAAACCGUUUUGAAAGCUAUAUUUGGCAAAAGCAAUGGACAGAAAUAGGAGUCGGCUUGGGGCCGACUUCAUGAGGUUGACAGACAACUGAAAGAGGCAAAGCGCCAGGCACCGUGCAGUUCUCAUUUUUUUUAUCAAGGACAGUGAUCUUGACCUGCAAAAAGAAGAUCAAACAUGGCUAAAGGAAAGAGAGGCCCCAGAGAAGCAAGAGGAGAGCAAGGGUCUGGAUCUAAAAGAACGACCUCCCAGGGCCAUGAAAGGGGGAGGCAGCCCAGCCAAGAGGAAAGAGUCCUGACUGAGGGUCAGAAGACUUGGGUUGGAAUCCUGACUCUUCCAGAGGUUCCUGCCUUACUCUGGGCCUCAGUUUCCACAUGUAUUUAUUCAUUUAUGUGUGGCCAACUGUGUUUAAGACAUUGCUGGAGACGAUGGACUUACGGAGACAAACCCCAUGGUCCCAGUCCUCUGGGGGCUCGGAAGAGUUGGCAGGGCAGUGACCCCUCAGGCGUAACAGAGGGAGGAGUGUUUCGGUGGGGACUCUGAAGAGAGGCAUCUAUGACAGCCUCACGAAGGGGAGCAGGUGAGGCGAGGAGGUGGUAUAUAGGAUCUCUCUAUUCCGGGACAGCCAGAGUGGAGGGUGUAUGUUGGGUGCAAGAAAGAGGGGCAAGGACAAGGAACGGGUCGGCAGGGGCCAGGUCAUGGGCGCUAUGCCACAGAGCCUGGUUUUAUCCUGCAGGCCAGUGGUUCUCACAGCUGAGCCUGUAUCCAAACCUCCUGGAGGGCUCAUUACAACAGAUGGCUGGGCCCGCCCCCAGAGGUUCUGAUUCACCAGGCCAAAGGUGGGGCUCCAAAUGCAUUUCUGACAAGUUUCUAGGUGAUACCCACGUGUGGGCAUAAGAAGGCCCUUUGAGAGUGGCAACAUGUAGGCAAAGGGAACCAUUAAGCAGGAGAAGGAACCAGCCAGAGGGACACUUGAGGAGGAUUCUUUUGGACACAGAUUUGGAGAACAGACUGGAAGGUGACUGGACUGAAGGCAGGGAGAUAGGAAGCUGCUGAAAUAAGGUAAGUGAGGUUAUUUUUAAAGGGGGGAAAUCCCAGAUUUGGAGACUGAAUGAAUACAGAAGGCAAAGGAGAAGGAGGAAUGAAGCAUGCCUCCCAGGAGUUUGGCCACGAGCCCAUAAGACCAGGGACUAUCCCCGCAACUCGGUACUGUGCCCGGUUCACAGCAAAUGCUCGCUGGGUAUCUGCUGACAAGUUGUUCCUUUAAAGGGAGGCAGAGGUUGAGUCCACUGGAUUUGGAAUCAGGUCGCUACCAGCAGAGAGACAGGUCUGGAAGCUGGACUGGAGAGGGUGGGGAAAUAGAAGGGGAAGACAUGGAGAGGCAUCGUGGAGAGGCAAUGACUCUUUCUGGAAACCUGAAAAGGAAGGAAGGACAGAGGAGGAACACAAAGUAAAGAGGGCUUUCACUUUUAAGGUGAGAGAGACCUGAACAAAAUUACAUGUGUGAGAGGAGGAUCCAGUAAGAAGUGAGAAAAGAAGUAAAGGGAGAUAGUUCCUAGGGAGGCGGGACAAGACCGCAUCCAGAACCUGGGAGAAAAGUGACCUUGGAUGCGAGAGGCACAGAAAGCAUAGUGAGGGAAGCCGGGAUGGAUGGGGAGGCAGGUAACUUCAUACACUGGAGGCUGGGAAGUCCAGAGUUCUUGACUGCUGACCACCUUUAUUCUCCCUGUGGAGUAGGGUGUGAGACUUCGGCUUAGGACAGGGAUGGAGGUGUAGUGGAACUGAAGACGGUGGUGAGUAGGCUCCAAGAGGAACGACGGCCAGGGACAGGACACAGGGGUGGUAAGUGGCAUCAAGAUGCUGGUAAGGUGGGGCACCUGGGUGGCUCAGUCAGUUAAGCAGCCAACUUCGGCUCAGGUCAUGAUCUCACAGUUCGUGAGUUCGAGCUCUGCAUCGGGCUCUACACAGACAGCGUGGAGCCUGCUUGGGAUUCUCUCUCUCCCUCCCUCCCUCUCGGCCCCUCCCCACUUGUACUCUCUCAAAACAAAUAAACAAACUUUUAAAAAAAGAUGCUGGUAAGGUAACACCACUAUCUCAGCUCAAGUUUCUCUCUCCAUGGGGACUCCCUGGCAGUGGACUGGCUGGACAAGACAGUCGUGGGGAGGGGGAGUUGUCAGGCCAGGGAGACAGCACAUGAAGCCUGGGGCUCCGUGUGAUUUUGGUAAUUGAUUGGAAUUGGCCGAAUGAAUGAAUGAAUGAAUGAAUGAGAGGUGUUACAUGUUACGGUUACACAAGAUACCUCUGGCUCCAAACGCGACCCUCCCACUUACUGUUACUUGUCGCCUGGCCUUGUAGGGUUGUUGACAUGUCUGGCUGAUGCACUGCUUGUAAAUCGUGUGGCCCAGAGCCUGGCACGUGGAAGAGCUCAGUAAACGGCAGCUCUUAUCAUUCUCAUGGGCCGUGACAGGUGGGAGCUGAUCGACAGAGGAUUCUACGCAGCAGGGUGAUGUGGCUGAGCUUAUUUCUUAGGAAGACCCCUGAAGCAGUCAGAGCUGGGUAUGACUUCAGUUCUCCCACUCAGCUAGCUGUAUGAGCUGGAGCAAGCAACUCAUCCUCCCUGUGCCUCAGUUUCCCAAUCCCCCAAAUGGGGGUAGUAACAGAACUGAUCUAGUAGGAUUGUUACGAGAAUAAAUUCAAAGGAGGCUGGCAAACUGGAGAGCGUAACACGUGACAGCUGUGACGAGGGUGGCGGAAGCCGGAGGAGGCAGAGGAAGAGGAGAAAGGAGGACGAGGAGAGAGGCAGGAAGAGGGGAGAAGAGAAGGUGGCACAGUGAUCAUACUGAUUAUGAGGCUCAGUAACCAAGAGGUCACUGAUGACAGUGACGAGAGGAGCAGGGGGUGAGACGGCAUGAACCCCAAUCCCUCAGCACUUUCUGUCUGUGUGCGGAGGAGUAGCAGUUAGCAUGUGGCCGAGGGGUUGAGCAUGGAGGCCUCCUGGCCCUCAGGGCAGAAGAGGAAUGAGCCACCAGAGCUGGCUGCAGAGGAAACAGUGUCCCAGGAGAGCUUGUCUCUGAGGCCUGGUGGGGAGAUGGUUGCUGGUUCAGCAGAAGCCUAGUCACAGCAGGAGGAAGCCACGCUGCAUGCCAGCCUCAGCACCCUUUCCAGGUGCCCUGUGCGGAGUCGCCCCUGACGUGAGGUGAUGUCCACACUGAGCUCCUAAGGCUCGGCAUCCCUCCCAGGUCUGGAACAGCAUACAGGCUUAGGUGCAGAUGGACAUUCAGUCCCCAUCUCGGGCCCGGUCCAAUACGGCCUCAUAGGCAGGGACCUGGUGGCCCUGUUUGCCCUGUGGAUUUCCUAGACUAUUAGCCCACCCCUGCUGUCUCUCCCAGGAGGCCCUGCGUCUCCUGCCUCAAGGCCUGGCCUCUGACCCCUGCUUUAGGUCUUCUCCUAGGUCAGACCCUAUAGCCUAGACAGACAAUGCUUCAUUCCCUAGUGCAACUGGGCUUUUCUACUGGCACCAAUAAUAGAUAGAUAGAUAGAUAGAUAGAUAGAUAGAUAGAUAGAUAGAAGUAGCAUUAAUCAUUGCUACAGAUAGCACUUGCUAAGUGUCGAGCACCAGGUCAGGUGCUUCUAUAUUUCAUCUGGUUUAAUAUUUAAAACAACCCUGAACAAUGGGAAGGAUUACUCCUGUUUUACGGAUAAGACUAAAUCUAAGGGGCCUGGGUAAUUUGCCUAAGGUAACCCAGCUAAUCCUUUGCCUAAGGAUCUAAAUUUAAACCCAAGUCUAUAUGACUCCAAGGCCUGAUCUGCUUUCCCCUCUUAAGCCAUGUUGUCUUCCCAAAUUCUGGAGCCCAGUCCUCUCUUGUGCAUGAAUGCGGGACCCUGGCUGGCCUUAGGGCCCUCCCUCCUUCCCCAAGGCCUGAGCUACAGCUGGGAGGUUGGGGCUGUGUCCAGGCUGUCCAGGGGCCAACCCCCUAGCCCGUCCUCUGUCCCCCUGCUGGGCUGGAACCACACCCAUUCCGGCCCAACCUAGGUCUCAGGGCCUCGCUGAACUGACAAUCAGUCAGAGGCCCCGCAGCAAUGAGGCCAGCUUUCCAGUUUCAGGACUGAGGAGGGGGACGGGGAGGAGGUGGCCAAGGGGAUUAGGAAGGCAGUUCCUUUCUGGGUUACCGGGCAUUCUGGGGCAUGGGAAGGGGAGGCUGGUGGA